rnacentral:rRNA from 1 species
GAUGAACGCUGGCGGCGUGCUUAACACAUGCAAGUCGAACGGGAAUUACUUUAUUGAAACUUCGGUCGAUUUAAUUUAAUUCUAGUGGCGGACGGGUGAGUAACGCGUGGGUAACCUGCCUUAUACAGGGGGAUAACAGUCAGAAAUGGCUGCUAAUACCGCAUAAGCGCACAGAGCUGCAUGGCUCAGUGGGAAAAACUCCGGUGGUAUAAGAUGGACCCGCGUUGGAUUAGCUUGUUGGUGGGGUAACGGCCCACCAAGGCGACGAUCCAUAGCCGGCCUGAGAGGGUGAACGGCCACAUUGGGACUGAGACACGGCCCAGACUCCUACGGGAGGCAGCAGUGGGGAAUAUUGCACAAUGGGGGAAACCCUGAUGCAGCGACGCCGCGUGAAGGAAGAAGUAUCUCGGUAUGUAAACUUCUAUCAGCAGGGAAGAUAGUGACGGUACCUAACCAGAAAGCCCCGGCUAACUACGUGCCAGCAGCCGCAGUAA